AUGUACUUGUGGACGGACGGGUGGAUGUACGAGGGGGAGUGGUGGCACGGGCUGGGGCAAGUUCUCCUGGCCGUCGGGCCGGGAGUCACCUUAGAGGGCGAGUUCAAGGACGGCUUCAUGGAUGGCGACGACACCUACACCGCCGCCGCCGGGGACAGGUACAAGGGCUCCUGGUCCAUGAACCUUAAGCACGGCAACGGCAGGAAGAGCUACGUCAACGGCGUCCAGUAA
rnacentral:rRNA from 1 species